rnacentral:rRNA from 1 species
UACGAAGGGUGCAAGCGUUAUCCGGAUUCAUUGGGUUUAAAGGGCUCGUAGGCGGCCAACUAAGUCAGACGUGAAAUCCCUCGGCUUAACCGGGGAACUGCGUCUGAUACUGGCAGGCUUGAAUCCGGGAGAGGGAUGCGGAAUUCCAGGUGUAGCGGUGAAAUGCGUAGAUAUCUGGAGGAACACCGGUGGCGAAGGCGGCAUCCUGGACCGGCAUUGACGCUGAGGCGCGAAAGCCAGGGGAGCAAACGGG